ensembl:lncRNA
UUUCACUGCUAUGCAGAUGACACCCAACUUCUAUCUAUCCACGAAGCAGAAAAAUAGCAUUAAGUGUUUUCAUUGUUAAACACAGAAGCAUAAAUUAUGUGUGCUUUUACUGAGGAUUAAUGCAGGUGCACACCUGAAACAUUCACACAAUCACUAAAGAUUAAUAUGUUCAAGUUAUCAUUACAUAUAGGUGGUUUCACUAAGGGUUAAUUAUGGUCAGUUGCUCAAUACCACAACACCUGUGGUCAUGAGUUUUUUGUCAUUUUCUACGUACCUCCUUGACUGUCUCAAUGUCAGGCCAGAUGUUUUUGUUAUUAUUGUGCCUUCUCUCUCUCUCUCUCUCUCCUUUCCUCUGUCCUCUGUCCGCAGAGCUCAUCUUGGGUUCCCGCCUUUGGCCCAUGCACCUGGCCUCAUUACUCACCUGCUGUUGAUUUACCUGAUUACCUGGCCAAUUGUCGUUGCUGGAUUGUUGAGUAACCUGUAUUCCCCUGGACCUGUUCCUGUUUUCUGUCCCUGGAUUAUCUGAGACUCGAUUCCCGGAACCCCUGACCUCUGCACGUUGUAUAUAUUGCACUUGGUGUUUCUGUAAAUA